rnacentral:lncRNA from 1 species
UUGAUUCCAACUAAAAAAUUUGUGCAGCCCAAUUAAUAAUCAGUAUAAAAAUUAGCCGAUAAUCCAUCAAUUACUACCAACAUUCUCAAAUUACAAACUGAACAAGUCUUAAAAUGAACCACUACGAGCACACACACACAUAUGGAUAGUUCCAACAAGUGUACAGUAGGUCACUUUAGGCUGCAAGCGUAAAAUAAAUUCAAAUUAAAUACUAAGCACAUGUAAUGUAUCAAAUAAGAGUGAUUAAGGAUAAUAAAAUCAGACCUCAAAGAAUGACAGCUUUUCGACUACGACAGCAAUGUAUGAAUAUGAAUCGGGACACGAGCUUGACCGGAAAACCUCUACCGGGAUACCUCACCGACAACCUCGAAAUCGAUACGGGCACAAAACAGCUUUCAAACUCAAAUGAACUCCACGAUCGGAAUCGAAUCAACUUCCGUUGAAAUCAGAAAAAGCAAAACUUUGACAUUUAAAUGAACUCCGUCGGAUUCUAUGGCUUCUUAAAAUCGGAAACAGACGACAAGAGAAACUAUGGGAUAAAAAUGACUGCUGCUGCAACUUCAAAGGUGCUGGCCGCGUUUGGUUAAGAAACAACCAUCGAAACUGGUUGCUUCCUCAUUUUGUGUCCAAAACUGCUGUAACUUAGGGUCUAUUGGUGUCUGUGUUGAUGAAGAGAGCAGGGGUGAGGUCAUUUGGUUCUGUUUGUCGCAUCUGGAGCUCGUUAAUCCGGCGAGUUUCAGGCAUCCGCGGCCAGCCGUGGUCAGCUGGUAAGGGGUGUGAGUGAAGAGGGUUAUGGGGUCUCUAAUGGCUGAAGAAGGAGGAUGAAAAAGCUUGGGGUUUAUGAGUUCGAAACAUGAAGAAGCAGCAGAACAGGGGGCCGUUUUUUAAUCUUCCAUCGCGCUGCUUGCUUCAAUCUGGCGUGAAGAAGACGAAGCCAGGGUGUGGGAGGGGGGGGGGGGGG